ensembl:snRNA U1 U1 spliceosomal RNA
AUACUUAUUUCGGCAGAGGUGGGAUUCCUGUAUGAAGAAGAUGGUUUCCCAGGGCGAGGCUUGGUCCAUUGCACUCCGGAUGUGUUGACCUGCAUUUCCCAAAAUGGGGAAACUCGACUGCAUAAUUUGUUAGUGGGGGAUCAUGUUCCGGCUUCCCUUU